rnacentral:rRNA from 1 species
GUAGUCCACGCCCUAAACGAUGGAUACUAGGCGUAAGAGGUAUCGACCCCUCUUGUGCCGCAGCUAACGCACUAAGUAUCCCGCCUGGGGAGUACGGCCGCAAGGUUGAAACUCAAAUGAAUUGACGGGGACCCGCACAAGCGGUGGAGCAUGUGGAUUAAUUCGAUACUAACCGAAGAACCUUACCCAGGUUUGACAUCGAUUGUAAGCCCGAGAGAUCGGGCCCUCCCCCACAAGGGGACAUGAAGACACUUGUUGCAUGGCUGUCGUCAGCUCGUGCCGUGAGGUGUGCGGUUAAGUCCGUAAACGAGCGCAACCCUCGUCCUAUGUUGCCAGCGAGAAAGUCGGGAACUCAUAGGAGACCGCCGGUGUAAGCCGGA